rnacentral:rRNA from 1 species
AUGGCUGUCGUCAGCUCGUGUCGUGAGAUGUUGGGUUAAGUCCCGUAACGAGCGCAACCCUUGUCCUAUGUUGCCAGCACGUGAUGGUGGGGACUCAUGGGAGACUGCCGGGGUCAACUCGGAGGAAGGUGGGGACGACGUCAAGUCAUCAUGCCCCUUAUGUCUUGGGCUGCAAACAUGCUACAAUGGCCGGUACAGUGGGCGUGCGAUGCCGUGAGGUGGAGCGAAUCCCAUAAAGCCGGUCUCAGUUCGGAUUGGGGUCUGCAACUCGACCCCAUGAAGGUGGAGUCGCUAGUAAUCGCGGAUCAGCAAUGCCGCGGUGAAUACGUUCCCGGGCCUUGUACACACCGCCCGU